CCUCCCUGUGGGUCCAGGCUCUGUCCUUGGAGGUAGUGGGUGGGGAACGGAAGACCUAAGUUUCCUUGAGAAAGUUCAAGUUCAGAGAAGCCAACCGCUUGAAUGUGGGGUGUAAUCAAAACGCCCCUCAAUUUUUGCCGCUCACUGUCCCCGGGCGCAGCUCGGGCAGGGAGACACGCCUUUUCUGUUCAGGCUCAGGUAAGGUCACACAGCACAAGCAGGGGGAGCUGCCGGCAGAGGGAGAAGCAGGCUCCCUGCUGAGCAGGGAUUCCAACACGGGACUCCAUCCCAGGACCCUGGAAUCACGACCUGAGCUGAAGGCAGACUGUCAACCGACUGAGCCACCCAGGCACCCUGAAAAGGGCAAUUCUUACGUCACCACAGAUUUGCCCGCUCUCUGGGCCCAGCAGAUGGUGAAAACUGUCUCCUGGGCCACCUCCCGCUCUCCCAGGUUCUUCAGAGACUCCCAUCUUCGAGGCUCUGUCCUGAGGGUCCCAUCUUCAUUUCCUUUCCGGGAAGAGAGACAGAGAGCAGACAGACACAAGGAGAAGGCCCUGUGAAGACAGAGGCAGAGUUUGGAGUCAUGUGACCACAAGCCAAGGAACAUCCGGGAAAGCUGGAAGACACCAGAAAGGAUUCUCCCCUAGGUCCUUUGGUGGGAGAGCUAGAACUAGGAUCUGGACUCCUCACUUCUCGUCUUGGAUCGUGCUUCCUGCCGAUACCCUGAUCUCACACUUCCAGCUUCCAGAAUGUGAGAGAGCAAGCAGGCCGCCAUGACAUGAGGAUCCUCAGGCAGACCUAUGGAGAGGCCCACAUGGCAAGGAGCCAAGGACCUGGUCAACAGCCCACGCCAUCUUGCCACACUAUGAGUGAGUAGCCUCAGAAGCAGAUCCCACAGCCUCAGGCGGGCCUUCAGAUGGCUGCAAACCCAGCUGAUAUUUGGGUAUUGCCCCCUAAAAGGCACAGAGCCAGAACACCCAGGGAAGCCAUUCCCCCAUUCCUGGCUCCCAGAAACUGUGAGAGGACUAAUGCUUAUUAUUAUUUUAAGCUACCAACAACUGAAGUAAUCCAUUAGGCAGCAACAGAUAACUAAGACUGAUGUCUAUUGUACUGGGGCCUUGGGAUAACCGGAAACAGGAAGGGUGGCACCGUGGAAACCUCCUACAUCACUUGGAACUGUCAGGGGCCCCAGAACCAUUCUCUUCAGGGAUGUUUCAUGCUGUGGGCUCCUCCACCAUUUGUGGAUAGGUGUCCCAGUCAUUCCUUUAUGGAUGAACACCUUCCGUGUGCUGGACACCGUGUUAGGGGCUGGGGCUGUAGGUGUGAACAGACUUGUUCACGGCCAGCCGCCAUGAUGGCCAUCCCUCUGCUGACUAGGCAGCUAUGGGCAAAAAAGACGGCCCUCCUCUGCAGAGGCCCGAGAAGGAGGGAGCCUGGGGACACUAGGGGGAGGAGCCUUCAGCACUGAGAUCCUGCAAAGGCAGGAAGAGUGCGAAGUUCCAGGGUCCACAGUGCUCCUAGCUGCUGACUCUUCAUCUGAAAGAUGGGGAUAAGAGCCCAUGCCCCCUUGGGUUGUCAGGAAGAUUAGAUAAUACAUGGAAUUCAUGGGAAGAGUAAACAGCCCACGGCACUUUUCUUGUCUGAAUAUUAUUAUUGACAGCACUGUCCCUCCACGGCCACCAGACUCUUCUAUCAGGUCAGUAUUUGAGAAGGGACAAAUUAAAAUGAAACAGAUGUAAAGUUGGAGGCUGAUGGAAAUUUGUGGCUGGAAGGCUGUUUUCUGUUUUUGGGAGGGAUUAUGUUCCAGCUCUAAGACAGCUCCCUGUGUAAGGUGAUGAGUGUGAUUAAUUGCAAUCAGCUCCUCUCCACAUAAUGAGGAAAGCUGGAUGUCACCCCAUGGCUUCCAUCCAGGUGAGUGCAGUUACCCAGUAUGUCCACAGGAUGUCGCUAACAAUCACUCUUCGACUACCUGCAGCCAAACCCAUCCGCUCAGGGCCUGGAACUCAAUAGCAGACCCCCAUUCAGGGGUUUAGCAAUCUUCAGCAACACCCUUUGAAACAGUUCUUUAAAUGGCAACGCAGUGUGAGUAGAAGCGGGGGAGGGGUGGUGGUGGCCAAGAGUGACUUGGCCUGGGGAACCCAGGUGGCUAGGUGUGGAGCUAGAAGAGGACCAGGGUCUCCUGUGUCCCAAUGAGGUGUGCUAACCGCACAUCUGUCCAGCGUGUGUAAGAGGCUGGUGGGGACAGGAACCUGGUUUCUGGGUCUCUAGGAUGGCCACCCCAGGGAAUGUGAUUUGAAGACAGGGGUUCAGGGGACCACUGGAGGGCCUCUGCUCCUUUCCCUUGAGCCCCAGGCCAGCUCUGCAGGCCCCCGAGGCUGCCUUCUGAUUUCUGCUUGUUGAAUGGCAGGAACAAUGGAAUUAGCAAUUCGUCCUUAGACUAGAAGGGGCUCACAAAGCCAGGUCCUCAGAAAAAUGCUUGCUCCUAGCCCCUGCUCCUGAGCAGAGGGGUCUUUCUAGUUCUUGGGGAGCCCAGGCAGUGUCUAACUCUGGCAUGAAGAGUCUCCCAGCCAACACAAAUGUCUCCACCCAGAGUCAUUGUCCAGAGCCUACUCUGACUGGAAGUGAAGCACCAGAGAGGCAAGAAUUCUGGCCCAGGUGCCUGAUUUGCACAAAGGGAAGGCCGUUCUCAGGGGCCAGAGCCUGUCUGUGGAGGGGCCACGGCGUGUACACAGCAGAUGCUCAGGAAGCUCCGUUCUCAUUUCUUUCUCGCUUCCUCGGAGCCUUCUAGAAGGGACCAGCCUAGCCCAUCCCAAGGCACUGCUCUUUCUUUUCCGAUGAUGAUGAUGAUGAUCAGGAGUGCUGUGAUUUCUUUCCCCUCCCUCUUCAUUUUGGCAGAAUCACCUCUCGGCAGAGGAGCCGUUUGCCCUGGGGCUCUAAUCCACAGCACCUGGAGGGCCUGCCUCUCAGCUCCUGCACCUGAGAAGCAAACAAUGCAGUAAAAAGCAGAGCAUUUCCUCCUCUGUGAAAUGGUAGCAGGAGAGAAGGAAGUGGGCCUCCGGCCACUGUGCAUUUGGGUUAGUGUCUAGCCACUGUGUAUUUGGACGGAGGAGGUCAGCAUCUGCACCCCUCCCGUGGUGGACCUGGUGUGGGUAGGACCACCCCCACCCCUACUCAGAGGCAGAGAGAAUAGGAGGGAAGGGAAUGCCCAGGACUAGGAAGUGUGGGGUUUUCUGGAGAGCUGUUGGAGGUAGGGACAGGGACUGGGAGAGAGAAACUCAGCCUGGGAUUGGUUUAUUUUUAUUGCUUUUUAAAAUCAUGUAAAUAAUCUACAUUCAUUGAAAAAAAAAUUAGAAAGCACAGAUAAGCCAAGAGAAGACAACAAAAGUCAUCUGUUAACAUCUUGGCAAAUAUCCCUUUUCUAUGCUUAGAUACAUAGACAAUACUUUUGUUUCAUCAAUAAAAUGUUUUCUUACUGUA